rnacentral:sRNA from 1 species
CCCUAGCCCAGAUUGUAAUGGAAAUCCUUGCUUUGUGAAAACUAUUUUUUGCUGGUUUUACAGAACGACCAACGGAAGUUCCUGAAAAACCUUGCAAAAAAAGUUUUCACAAAGCAAGAUUGCAAUGGAAAGCUGGAAAUAGC